CAGACUUCACGUUUCCUAAUUUGAUAAUUAAUUAGGGGCUGUAUAUAUUUCACUUAUUGAAUCAACAAUUUUAUCGCUGAUAUAUAUCGCCCCCAUGUUGUUUCUUAUCAUUAAGAAAUGUUCAUCAGGCUCGUUUACAGCACUCCUCGUGCCUGGCAGUCCAAUAAACUGUACACUGAUGAUAAAAUAUAUUCGUGGAUCUAAAAUCUCUUCAUCAUUGCACUGGUAGGUGUGUAAUUAUUUUCUUUUAUCGCGAAAAAUUAAGACGGUUUAUAUUAAAUUGAUUAUUUCAUUUGAGGGAUAUUAUUUUUGCAAAUUCCAAACACGUGGUAGCAUUUUUUAUCUGAAUUCAUAGCCCUGUUUCCGAAAAUAACAUGCAUGAUUUAAUUAUUACAUACAUUGUUAUAAAAAAGUAUCUGAGGAUUAUUAAAAUGGCAAUAAUCAUGUGGUCGACCACGCUCACUUUGCCGUCGACCGUCAGCUCUUUCUUCCUUUCGCUGAACGUUUUAAAUCGAAUUACACUCCUUUGCAUCAUUAAAUUAAAAAGUUUCUUGUUGAUCUAAUAUAAUCUUGUACGUUGAAUAGUUUUUCGCUAUCAUAGUCUCCAUAUAUCUUAAUAUUUACAAGUAAAUAGUUAUUUUUAUCGAAUUUACCUACUGUAUUGCCACGCGCCGUCGCUUGCCGUCUGCUGCUUUGGAUGUUUUCCGCCGGAUGUUCCAUCAAUUUAUGGUUAUGCUUCACCCGUCGGUUGCAGUUGAUGCCAUCAUCAAAUGAUAAAUAUAUACACAAUAAAUUAAAAUGUAAGUGUUUUAUUCUUGUAGCACCUAUCUUACUCAAGUUUUCCGAUGAUGUUCGGGUAAAAUCUUUGAAUUUAUAUUAAAAUACAGUUGUUUCGGUAUAAAUUUCUCUCGUCAUGAAGUGAAUAUUGACCAUAUUUGUAGUUUUUAAAAUUUUCCUUUUGUAACACCCUGUAUAUUAGUUUUUCCUAACUGGACGUAGUAAAUCGCUUUUAUUUGUGAGUUUUGAGUGUUUUUCGUUUUAAACUUGUGAUUUUCCUUCUGGAACACCCUGUAUGUUUUUCUUUGUGUCCGUGAAAAUUUUCCUUCAACUGCGUUUUUAGGGCUAUCUUUUUGCACUCUAUUUUUUUGUAACACCCUGUUUAUUAGUUUCCCGGAGCAUCGGGUGAACACGAGCAAUAUUUGUAGUGUAUAGAUGUUUUCCUCUUUGAUGGUUGAAUUUUCUAAUUGUGACACCUUGUAUAAUCCUUUUCAUUCACAUCCCUGAAAAUUUUGCUUUGAUUGAUAUUAGAAUUUAACUUCUUGCACUUUAAAUUUUCUUUUAUUAACGCCCUGUAUAUUUGUUUCCAUUUUCCAUCACCUAGAAAAUGGACAAUUUGCUAAAUUCUUUAUCCCGCUAGAACAGGUUGAUGUGUUACUUGCUUAUAUUUUAUGUGCGCGAUGAUGCAGGUCGUAAGUUCGGUGUCAAUAUGGCGGCAUGUAUUCUGUUGACUUGUAAAAUAUAAACUUGUAUUCUAUUGUUAAUAAAUAAAUAGUAAGAUA